rnacentral:lncRNA from 1 species
CAUGCAUUUCUUUCUUCUGUGUAUGUGGCAGGGCUCUUUCUGGAAUGGGGAUCUUAUGACCUACAGUCAAAUAGGAACAAUGACAACAGCAACAAAAGAAACCACGUGGCCGUUUUUCACUUUGCAAAGCAUUCUUUACAGAUGCCUGUCUAGUUGUUCUUGGAUGGCUUCAGGGCACUGACACCGCAUUCAUCUUUGAAAGUUCUCCACCAGGUCCAAAUGGCUGCUGUUGAUCCCAGGAAUGAGUGAACUACACCAUGCCUUCCAACGGGUUCAGCGUUUUAUUUGUCUGUAAUGUGGUAGGCUUAGGAACAUAUCUGGCUGAAGACGCUUAUCUUUCACUGUGUCAGAAUCUUUCAGGGCUGCAGCAUUCUAUGUUUCUAAUAUCUAGGCAGGAGGACAAUCAGAUUAUAAAUUUGGCAGCAGUACCUAGAGUAAUGCCUGGCACAUGAUAGCUGCUGAAUGAAUGCUCCAAGACCGAAGGAUCUAGCUGUUAUCUUGAAACCUAGCGAUAUACUGAAAUUCUUGUACUAAUGUCUACUUCAGCCCCCUCUCCUAACACAUGACCUCAAACUUGGCUCUAUUGUCAUUUGAGGCUGGAUAAUUCUGUUACAGGGAGCUGUCUUAUGCAUUGUAGGAUGUUUAGCAGCAUUCCUGACCUCUACCCACUAGAUGCCAGUAGGAUGCUCUAGUUGUAAAAACCAAAAAUGUCUUUAGAUUUUGACAAAUGUCCCCUGGGGGGCAGAAAUAUCCCCUGGUUGCAAAUCACCAUCCUAAACUGAGCGUAGUUAUGUGGAAGAGAUAUGGCCUUAGGCAUUAGUUGAGUCAGCAGUAGUAAAUCAUGAAAUAUGAUAUGAACACCAUGGAAGUGCUCUUCUGACCAACAAUACCUCCCCUGCCCUCAGUGUCUCUAGGAAGGAUGACCAUAAAUGUUUUAACUGAGAUAGUUUUGCAGAAAGUUGAGAGCAAAUGAUGAACAAUCAAUCAGCCAGGGAAAUGGUUCCUUUUUGUCUUAAGAAAAAGAACAGUCACUUGGGAGUAAUGCAGUCAUUUGUAAAAAGCAGGUGUCCAAGAGAUAGUGUGUGUAAAGAGGAAAAAAUUGGAUGGGAAAUUAGCAGACUUGCACGCUAAUCCUGGGUUGGCUACUGACCAGCUGUGUCCCAUAGAGGAGCUCUCUUCACUCGGCUGAUAAUAAGGGGGCUGAACCAAGUGACCCAUAAAGUUCUUUCUCCUGCUCAGGUGUGAAGAAAAUCACAGAUUUGUUUGUCUAAUGAAUAGCCCAUUAUUACGUAUUUUUGCAGAGGAGGAGCCAUGCUUUGACAGAGUACAAGGCUAGAAUCAAUGAGGGGUAUGGGAAGAUAAAUUACAGGGUUUAGGGGAUGCCGUAAUCUAAGACGAAGGUAAUGGAGUUUCUGUUGAAAGGAAAUAAAGUAUGAUGAGUAUGACACAAAAGCCAUAAUACAUCUUUGCUGCUCUCUCACUCUCUUUCUGUGUGUGUAGGUUGGUGGUAAAGAUGCUAGGUGGGCCACAGUUAGCAAGCUAGUCAGCUUCCUCAUAGCUCCUCAGGGAGGAGGGUUUGCUCAGAACAGUCUCUCUUGCCAAAUGUGAAAACCACGAUCAUAGGUUACUGUCAGCAAUGGGCAAUCUUGGAAGUGUAUGGAACCUCUCAUCAGAGCAUUCAAUUGAUUCAACUGAAUUCUCUUAUUUUGCUGAUACACAUGUCAAAACAGU